AGGUGCAUGCAGCCUAUAAGCGGGCCUUGUUACCGUGCAUCAAAAACGGACAUUCGUGAGCAGGUUAAGGCUGAGGAGAAAUUCAAGCUCGUCUCUCGGUGUAAUGGAAUAGGCUAUGGACCAGCGAGGGCCUUAGCUUUCUGGUUUGCUGCUAUUUGAGUCUUGCAGUCACGUUCCUCUGGUGGGUAUUCUGUGAUUAACACUUUUAGUUUGCUUUUGUUUAUACACAAUUAACAACAGGUUUUGUUUCAUGGUGGCUGAUAGAUUUGAUA